UCUCCCUUACAUCACUCAAAAGUAUAAUUAAACCAUUAUUUAUUGCAUUAGUAUGAAGAAACUAUCUUUCUAUCAAAAUUUCUUUGUUGUGGAAGACUUUCAAUUGUUCUCUGAACAAUUGGUUUUUAAUUUUAUAUUAUUAUUUUUUUUUUUUCCGCCAAAUUUUGUUCUUGCGAUAAAUGUUUGUUUCGCAAUAUGUCGCUUAGAUAUUUCUCAUAUGGUAUCGUAUAGUUUAUGCGCUUUUAAAUUUCACCCUGCUAAGACGAACAAUUUUCUCUGUAAGAGUUAUCUCCCUAUUCACUGUUUAUCAUGUGUGUGCAUCUCCUUCUUAACCAAAAAAGAUAGCGAC
rnacentral:lncRNA from 1 species